AUUGAACGCUGGCGGCAGGCCUAACACAUGCAAGUCGAACGCGUGGCGGGCGUGUGAAUAAUGUCGGGGAAACUGUCAUGGGGAGGGGGAUAAAUACUGGACACGGUAGAUAAUACCACAUACCCUCAGAUGUGCCCAGAGGGGAUUAGCUUGUUGGGGGGGUAACGGCUCCCCAAGGCGACGCUCCCUAGCUGGUCUGAGAGGAUGACCAGCCACACUGGAACUGAGACACGGUCCAGACUCCUACGGGAGGCAGCAGUGGGGAAUAUUGCACAAUGGGCGCAAGCCUGAUGCAGCCAUGCCGCGUGUAUGAAGAAGGCCUUCGGGUUGUAAAGUACUUUCAGCGGGGAGGCGUUACCCGCAGAAGAAGCACCGGCUAACUCCGUGCCAGCAGCCGCGGUAAUUC
rnacentral:rRNA from 1 species